GAUGUCUGCUUGGCCCGUUUUGGCACUAGCACAUUUUUGCUUCUGUCUCUCUGCUCUGAGCAAUCAUGUGUAGUGCCAAUAUGGGAAAAGCAAGAUG
ensembl:miRNA mdo-mir-96 mdo-mir-96